UACGUAGGGGGCAAGCGUUGUCCGGAAUUAUUGGGCGUAAAGAGCUCGUAGGCGGCUUGUCGCGUCGUUCGUGAAAACCUGCAGCUCAACUGCAGGCUUGCGGUCGAUACGGGCAGGCUAGAGUUCGGUAGGGGAGACUGGAAUUCCUGGUGUAGCGGUGAAAUGCGCAGAUAUCAGGAAGAACACCCGUGGCUAAGGCGGCUCUCUAGUACGGUACUGACGCUGAGACGCGAAAGCGUGGGGAGCGAACAGG
rnacentral:rRNA from 1 species